GGCGGGUCGAUCCGGGCGGAG
rnacentral:snRNA from 1 species